rnacentral:rRNA from 1 species
AGCUAGCUUAUCACCAAAUAACUAAUCAAUAUAAAUAAAACUAAAUAAACCUAACACCCAAAACUAAACCAUUCUUUUACCUGAGUAUGGGAGACAGAAAAGGCUACACCAAAGCAAUAGAAAUAGUACCGCAAGGGAAAGCUGAAAGAGAAAUGAAACAACCCAUAUAAGCACAAAAAAGCAAAGAUUGAAUCUUGUACCUUUUGCAUCAUGAUUUAGCCAGUACACCCAAGCAAAGAGACCUUUAGUUUGAAACCCCGAAACCAGGUGAGCUACCCCGAGACAGCCUAUUAAGGGCCAACCCGUCUCUGUGGCAAAAGAGUGGGAAGAGCUCCGGGUAGAAGUGACAGACCUACCGAACCUGGUGAUAGCUGGUUGCCUAAAAAAUGAAUAGAAGUUCAGCCUCGUACUCCCCAAAUCAAAAUUACGCAAACAAGAUUCCAAGAGAAACACACGAGAGUUAGUUAAAGGGGGUACAGCCCCUUUAACAAAGGACACAACCUUUCCAGGAGGAUAAAGAUCAUAAUACAUAAAACAUACUGUUCUAGUGGGCCUAAAAGCAGCCAUCUAAGUAGAAAGCGUUAAAGCUCAGACAAAAAGAAGUUUAUUAUUCUGACAAAAAAUCUUACUCCCCUAAACAUUAUUAGGCCAACCCAUGCCUACAUGGAAGAGACUAUGCUAAAAUGAGUAACAAGAAGGCCAGCCCUUCUCCAAGCACAAGUGUAAGCCAAACCGGACCAACCAUUGGCAGCUAACGAACUCAACCCAAGAGAGUAAUGUGAACUACAAAAAGACCAAGAAAACCCCACAACCAAAUAUCGUUACCCCUACACUGGAGUGCCACUAGAGGAAGACUAAAAGAAAGGGAAGGAACUCGGCAAACACAAGCCUCGCCUGUUUACCAAAAACAUCGCCUCCUGCAACACAACCAAGUAUAGGAGGUCCAGCCUGCCCAGUGACUACAAGUUCAACGGCCGCGGUAUUUUGACCGUGCAAAGGUAGCGCAAUCACUUGUCUUUUAAAUAGAGACCUGUAUGAAUGGCUAAACGAGGGCUUAACUGUCUCCCCUUUCAAGUCAGUGAAAUUGAUUACCCGUGCAGAAGCGGG